rnacentral:rRNA from 1 species
AGAAUCAACGCUGGCGGCGUGCCUAACACAUGCAAGUCGAACGAGAAAGUGGAGCAAUCCAUGAGUAAAGUGGCGACCGGGUGAGUAACACGUGACUAACCUACCCUCGAGUGGGGAAUAACUCCGGGAAACCGGAGCUAAUACCGCAUAACAUCUUCGGAACUCAGGUUCUGUUGAUCAAAGGAGCAAUUCGCUUGAGGAGGGAGUCGCGGCUGAUUAGCUAGUUGGCGGGGUAAUGGCCCACCAAGGCUUAGAUCGGUAGCCGGCCUGAGAGGGCGCACGGCCACACUGGAACUGAAACACGGUCCAGACUCCUACGGGAGGCAGCAGUGGGGAAUUUUGCGCAAUGGGGGAAACCCUGACGCAGCAACGCCGCGUGGAGGAUGAAGUCCCUUGGGAUGUAAACUCCUUUCGACCGGGAGAUACUGACGGUACCGGUAGAAGAAGCACCGGCUAACUCUGUGCCAGCAGCCGC